UGGGCGUUGGAAAUUUGACGGGGGCUGCUCCUAGUACGAGAGGACCGGAGUGGACGUACCGCUGGUGUACCUGGUGUUUCGCCAGAAGCAUCGCAGGGUAGCUAAGUACGGAAAAGAUAACCGCUGAAAGCAUCUAAGCGGGAAACUUGCCUGAAGAUAAGAUUUCCCGGGGGUUUAACCCCCUUGAAGGGUCGUUCGAGACCAGGACGUUGAUAGGCACCGUGUGGAAGCGUGGUAACACGUUAAGCUAAGGUGUACUAAUUGCCCGUAAGGCUUGACUCUAUAACCUUA
rnacentral:rRNA from 1 species